UACAGAGGGGGCAAGCGUUAUUCGGAAUUAUUGGGCGUAAAGGGCGCGUAGGCGGUCGUGCAAGUGGAAGGUGAAAUCCCUCGGCUCAACCGAGGAACUGCCUUUCAAACUGCAUGACUUGAGUCCGGGAGAGGUGAGUGGAAUUCCCAGUGUAGCGGUGAAAUGCGUAGAUAUUGGGAAGAACACCUGAGGCGAAGGCGGCCCCCUGGUCGGAUACUGACGCUGAGACGCGAAAGCGUGGGGAGCAAACAGG
rnacentral:rRNA from 1 species